rnacentral:hammerhead_ribozyme from 1 species
AUGCAUCUGACGAGUCCCAAAUAGGACGAAAUGUGCGUCCUGGAU